CCUACGGGAGGCAGCAGUGAGGAAUAUUGGUCAAUGGACGAGAGUCUGAACCAGCCAAGUAGCGUGAAGGAUGACUGCCCUAUGGGUUGUAAACUUCUUUUAUAAAGGAAUAAAACGAGGCACGUGUGCCUUUUUGCAUGUACUUUAUGAAUAAGAAUCGGCUAACUCGGGGCCAGCAGCCGCGGUAAUACGGAGGAUCCGAUCGUUAUCCGGAUUUAUUGGGUUUAAAGGGAGCGUAGAUGGGUUGUUAAGUCAGGUGUGAAAGUUUGCGGCUCAACCGUAAAAUUGCAAUUGAUACUGGCAGUCUUGAGUACAGUUGAGGUAGGCGGAAUUCGUGGUGUAGCGGUGAAAUGCUUAGAUAUCACGAAGAACCCCGAUUGCGAAGGCAGCUUACUAAACUGUGACUGACAUUGAUGCUCGAAAGUGUGGGUAGCAAACAGGAUUAGAUACCCCGGUAGUC
rnacentral:rRNA from 1 species